ACCGAUGAUGGCGAUUAUCAGGUAAAACUACGCAACCUGACUCGCUUCUUGGAAGAUGGAGACAAAGCGAAAGUUACGCUGCGUUUCCGUGGUCGCGAAAUGGCCCACCAGGAUCUCGGCAUCAAACUGUUGAACCGUAUUAAAGACGAUUUGGCAGAGAUUGCAGUGGUCGAGGCUUUCCCUAAAGUGGAAGGUCGUCAAGCGGUGAUGGUCCUCGCACCAAAGAAGAAACAGUAAGGCUUCCAAGUAAUUAAAUCAGCUCGGUCGCUGACCGGGCUGAUUUUGUUCGCCUUGCAGUUCUAUUUUUUUAUUAACAAUGCGGAGUUUCAAAUGCCUA
rnacentral:misc_RNA from 1 species